rnacentral:snRNA from 1 species
GGAUGUGAGUGCAAGGGGAUGGUGAAUUCUGUCACCCCAUUGANCAACAGGAUUGAUUCACCUGAUCUGACUGGUUAGGUGUGUGUCCCAUCCCCUUACACUCUCCCUGCUACAAGUCUGUCCUUACUGAAGCUAUGCUCCUUCUUUACUGAAGCUAUGCUCCUUCAAGGAGGACAACCUUCCCCAAAAGAGGACCAAGAGAGGCCAAGGUUAUGUUCCUUGCUCCACACCCCUGCUAGAACAUCCAUACCAGCUUUCCAAAAGCAAGCACUAUUUUCUUUCCCUGACAGAGAGAAGGAAAUGUUCAAGCCAUUCUAGGAAUUUUCAUAUUCUUU